rnacentral:tRNA from 1 species
UCCCUGGUGGCUCAGAUGGUAAAGCGUCUGCCUACAAUGCAGGAGACCCGAGUUCAAUCCCUGGGUCGGGAA